rnacentral:rRNA from 1 species
UACGUAGGGUGCGAGCGUUGUCCGGAAUUAUUGGGCGUAAAGGGCUCGUAGGCGGUUUGUCGCGUCGGGAGUGAAAACACCGGGCUUAACUCGGUGCUUGCUUUCGAUACGGGCAGACUAGAGGUAUGCAGGGGAGAACGGAAUUCCUGGUGUAGCGGUGAAAUGCGCAGAUAUCGGGAGGAACACCGGUGGCGAAGGCGGUUCUCUGGGCCUUACCUGACGCUGAGGAGCGAAAGCGUGGGGAGCGAACAGG